CACAUCAGUCAUCACUCUCCUUCAUUUGUUUGAUCCGUUAAACCCUUCGCAGGGAAAAACCUCUCUUCCUGUUGAACAAUCUUACUUUUCAUGAUCGGAGAAAAUCGCCACAGAGGUUUUCAGAUUUGGGAUUCCAAAUGAAUUUCAUAGCCUUACGUGCGCUCCAAACUUUGUAUCGCUCAGCAAAUAAUCGAGCAUUUGCUUCUUGGCUUGGAAGUUCAGCAAACUAUUCACGUGGCAUUACAAAUGUUAGUCAAUUGGGUAUUCAGAAAACUUCUUCUUUCCUCAGUAACAGUCGCACUGCUUUUUCACUGGCUCGGGGACAUAAAAUGAUAAUAUCUUCUGCAGUGGCUGCCGAGUUUCCAGUAUUCUCGCAUGACAUUACGAUUAGGUUGGUGACAACACAAGCAAAAGCCCCUCCACAAGUACGUCAAAUGGGAGCCCUCAAAGUUUCCAUGUUGAGUCCUGGAUUCAUCUAUGAACCUUAUUCACCCCGUCAACCAAUCCCAUUUUGGCAAAGAUGGUUCACAAGAAGUGGUUGGAGAAGAACAAAAGACGAUAUCAUUUUAGAGCUAAAAAGUGCUUAUGCAAUUGCAAAAUUAAGAAAGAAGGGGUACUCAAAGAAACAAUUUUACGAAGAGGCAGUAAAUUUAUAUAAAGAGAUAAACACUUUGAUAGCAAAUGGUGACAAAACAUCAUUGAGGAAAGCAGUCACAGAGAAUAUGUAUUCAGCGUUGAAGAAUGAAAUCAAACUCAGAGAAUCCAAAUGGAACAAAGUUUACUGGGAAAUGAUCGUUCCAGUCGUUAAGAUCCGCACAUUACGAGCUAGAUUGAUUGGUGUUGAUCGAAGUGACCUUGAAAAGGUUUUCGUACAGCUUACCCUUGAGAUUCUUGCCAAACAGAAGUUUGAAGCAUAUAGUUCUGAAGGAGCUGUCGUUGCUGGAGAUAAAUCUAAGGAGGUGCUUGUCCGUGAUAUCUGGGUAUUUGAGAAAUCUCUUUUUCACGAGGGAGCUUUUUGGCGUCUUUGUGGGCGAAUUCCAACCUAAUUUCAUCCUUCAACCUCUCUUUGACUACAAGCCUCUUUAUCCAAAUUUGUAGAUCAACAGGUGCAUGAAUCGAUUACUUCAUUGUUCUUGUUUCGAAUUAAUCACGAGGGCGAUUAGCACAUCGACUGCAGGUCAUCUGAAUCUGCAUAUUUAAAAGCAGCUCUUAAUAUUUGCCAAUACAUGCUCGAAUCUAUAUUCAGGGUGUUUAAGUAAAAUGCCUUUAUUUAAGACCAUCCAUCAUAAAGACUCAUGAGAAAGGUUCAUUCUUCGGGUGUCAAAACUAUAGCAUGUUGAUUAUCAGUGCUAUGGAGAAUAACGCAAUUUUCAUGCUUUGGUGGAUAAAA